rnacentral:rRNA from 1 species
AAUCAACGCUGGCGGCGUGCCUAACACAUGCAAGUCGAACGCGAGGACCUCGCAAGAGGUUAGUAGAGUGGCAAACGGGUGAGUAACACGUGGGUGACCUGCCUUAGAGUGGGGGAUAACGUCCCGAAAGGGACGCUAAUACCGCAUAACAUCCUGCCUUUGAAGAGGUGGAGAUCAAAGCUGGGGACCGCAAGGCCUAGCGCUUAAAGAGGGGCCCGCGUCUGAUUAGCUAGUUGGGGGGUAAUGGCUCACCAAGGCAACGAUCAGUAUCCGGCCUGAGAGGGCGGACGGACACACUGGGACUGAGACACGGCCCAGACUCCUACGGGAGGCAGCAGUGGGGAAUUGUUCGCAAUGGGCGCAAGCCUGACGACGCAACGCCGCGUGGAGGAUGAAGACCU